GCGACCCCAGGAUGGGCGAGCC
rnacentral:rRNA from 1 species